rnacentral:rRNA from 1 species
CCUACGGGGGGCAGCAGUGGGGAAUAUUGGACAAUGGGGGCAACCCUGAUCCAGCCAUGCCGCGUGUGUGAAGAAGGCCCUCGGGUUGUAAAGCACUUUCAGUGAGGAAGAACGCCUGGUGGUUAAUACCCAUCAGGAAAGACAUCACUCACAGAAGAAGCACCGGCUAACUCCGUGCCAGCAGCCGCGGUAAUACGGAGGGUGCGAGCGUUAAUCGGAAUUACUGGGCGUAAAGCGCGCGUAGGUGGCUUGAUAAACCGGUUGUGAAAGCCCCGGGCUCAACCUGGGAACGGCAUCCGGAACUGUCAAGCUAGAGUGCAGGAGAGGAAGGUAGAAUUCCCGGUGUAGCGGUGAAAUGCGUAGAGAUCGGGAGGAAUACCAGUGGCGAAGGCGGCCUUCUGGACUGACACUGACACUGAGGUGCGAAAGCGUGGGUAGCAAACAGGAUUAGAUACCCGAGUAGUC